AACGCGAAGAACCUUACCAGGUCUUGACAUCGAUCUAAAGGCUCCAGAGAUGGAGAGAUAGCUAUAGAGAAGACAGGUGGUGCAUGGUUGUCGUCAGCUCGUGUCGUGAGAUGUUGGGUUAAGUCCCGCAACGAGCGCAACCCCUGUUGCCAGUUGCCAGCAUUAAGUUGGGGACUCUGGCGAGACUGCCGGUGACAAGCCGGAGGAAGGCGGGGAUGACGUCAAAUCAUCAUGCCCCUUAUGACCUGGGCUACACACGUGCUACAAUGGACAGAGCAGAGGGAAGCGAAGCCGCGAGGUGGAGCGAAACCCAGAAAACUGUUCUCAGUUCGGACUGCAGUCUGCAACUCGACUGCACGAAGUUGGAAUCGCUA
rnacentral:rRNA from 1 species